CAGAAAGUUGUCUUAAUCCUGUGUAUAUCCGUCUUUGUUUAAUGCAAUUAUUAUUCAUUUAUAAAUAAAAUAUAGUUUCUUUGAGUAAUUACCUGUUGUACGGCCAUAAUCUGCUAUCAAGUAUCCCAAUGUUUGAAUAGGAGUUAAGUACUGGCCACUAAACGUCCCGGGGGGUGUCGUCACCGACCCCCUCCGUUACAAAUGGUGCCGUAACCAGGACACCUGAUCCAUCAGUUUUUGUUACAUUUAUUUUUCAUAUUGUUUAUAUUUUUUAAUUUCAAAAAUGAACAGAAACCUUGUACUUUUGACGGUGUUAGUGCUGACGUACAAGAAUAUUUUAUUCAAUUUGAAGCAGUUAGUCUGUGGAAUAACUGGAAUGUAUCUUCAAUUAGUAAAAAAUUUAAGAAAAGAAGCACGAAUUUAUUUUACGUCUUCUUACUCCUGUUCAGUUGCAGAGCUAUGAUUUUUUUGAAAAGUUUAUUAUUGCAACGCUUUAAUCCGACGG
rnacentral:lncRNA from 1 species